UUUUUUUAUGCUUGUUCGUACACAGGCAAAACAUUUUUCUGGGUAUAGAGGCCAACAUAUUUGGGGAUUUUCAUGCCUUUCAUCACAGGAUGUGUGACUCUUCAGUUACGCAAUCUUCCUUGAGCCAAAGGGAUUCUACUUCCAAAAUUUUCCGGACUUUUGUUGAUUCAGAAACUCAGUUGGAUCUUGUUGAUGAACUUAGGAGCAAUGACUCUCCAUUAGAGGUGAACAAUAUUAUUGAUGGGCCUGGAAGUUUUGGAUCAAGCAUUACAAGCAAUAAUUCUUUUCCUUACAGAAUCCAACUAGAACACGAUGUGCAAAGAUUGCAACAGCAGUUGCAAGAAGAGAUGGCAACACAUGCUAUUUUGGAAGAUGCUAUUGGAAAAAAAGCUGUAAAAUUAUCUUGUCCAU
rnacentral:misc_RNA from 1 species